GGCGCUAUAGCCAAGUGGUUACGGCGACAGAUUAGAAUUCCAAUGUUCCUUAGAUCUGUUCCUCUUUGAGGGCGCAGGUUCGAAUCCUGCUGGCGUCG
rnacentral:tRNA from 1 species